rnacentral:lncRNA from 1 species
UGCAGUCUUCAUUUAUUAAUCUGAGUGCCAGACUUAAUAUACGUUUUAGGCUAAUGUUAUGACAUUUCUAGUUAGCUUCAGUUGACAUUAUAUUCCUGCAGGGUUAAUGCACAUUCCAUACUUUGACAUUUCAGUAUCCACCUUAACUAACAAGAUCAAGUUUCUUAUCAACAUAGAAUUGUAAAUAGCAUAGUUGUGAUGCUCAUCAGCAUCAACAGAAUUGUAAAUAGUUGUGAUAUUUUAUCAAUAUCAAAGUACUUGUCAAAACAGAGUAGUAAAUAGCAGAAAUUAUCAUACUAAUAUAUUUACCUCAAGUAUGUCCUUAAUUUAUUAUUAAGAGAUAAACAGUAUAGUUAAAAUGUCUUGUUUCUAUUGCAGGCAUUCUCCAACAAGAUUAGCCUGAUUUUUACUAAAUAUAUCUUUACAAUUAUUAAGGAGAGGAUGAGCCAAUAUGGGCAUGGACUACUCUCUUUUCAUAUGCUCUGUGGCUCUUUAUGCCCUCCGCCUAGAAACUCAAAAAGAAUCACUUGAAGUUUAGGAUUAACUCAUAUCUAGGAUUUCCCCAAAAUGGAAGAAAAAAAGGUAUUCAAUGUAAACUAGAUAUAAGACACCAUGACUCAAAAACAUACACUGACAAAGAAAUAAUAUAAGCAGCAACAUAAUUACCAUUGUACUUUUCUCCAAGGUUGAACUUAAAAUUUCAAAACACAAAGUAUUCUUCAAAGCUCUUAAACUGACAUUUCACUUUCACUGUUGAAAUACUUCCCUCUAGGGUCAUGUUUUCUCACAAGCCAAACUGGUGAGUUGGGCUCAUCCCACAGUGAUCAUUUUCUCAAAGAAGUUCCAUAAUAGUAGCAGAGAGAGACCAAUCUCUAGAAAGUACAAUUAGCUCCAGCUUUAGAAGACAGAGGAGCCAACAACUCACAAAGUGGCCUCUGAAGAUAGAAGUGUUCAUCUCUUCUCAUUCACUUAUGCUCAGGAAAGAAACACAAAUGAGAAGAGGCAGCCAGUGCUGAGACAUAUUCUUCCCCCCUUCCCACUCUUUAGUAUUUUUUUCAAUUACAUAGUUUUCAACAUUCAUUUUAGUAAGAUUUCGAGUUCCAAUUUUUUUUCUUCCUUUCUCCUUUACACUUCCUCCCUCCCCAAAAUAGCAAACAAUCCAAUAUAGAUUACGAAUUAGAUUAUAUAUGUACAGUCAUUUUAAACAUAUUUUCAAUAGUCAUAUUGUGAAAGAAAAAUCAGAAUAAAAGGGAAAACCAGGAGAAAGAAAUAACAAAAAAAGUGAAAACUAUGUUUUCAUCUACAUUUAGCCUCCAUAGUUCUUUCUCUGGAUGUGAGUGACUUUUUCCAUCUCAAGUUGAUUGGAAUUGUCUUGGAUCACUGUAUUGCUAAGAAGAGAUAAAUCAAUCAUUAUUCAUCAUCACACAAUCUUACUGUUUUUUUGUACAAUGUUCUCCUGGUUCUGCUCACUUCACUGGGCAUCAGUUCCUGUAAAUCUUUCUAGGCUUUUCUGAAAUCAGCCUGUUUAAUAUACAUUCUUAAGCUUAUUUAGGACAGCAAAUUAUUAGCUUCCAAUUGUAGGCAAAUUAGUUUUCCCUUUUGCUAGAGGGGAAGAGGGUACAACCAUUCCAAGGAAAGGCUCAGAAGAGUUCUGACACGUUGCUCUGAGAGGAGGAAAGAGGGAGUCAUAUAGCAGAUUACUUAUCUUUAAGAUCUACUGUAUUGGCCACUCCAGGUUCAGUAGUUAGUCCUCUCCGAUAAAGCCUACCCCUCCUCCUGCAGCCUUGGGAGGCAGGAGGAACUAAGGGAUUACCGGGGUUUCCUGUGUCAUUCUAAAGAUUUAGGUUCUUCAACUCUGAGUCACAUUUCCCCAACUCAGAGGCCCUGGCAGGGGGUCCUCAAACUUUUUAAAUAGGGGGCCAGUUCACUGUCCCUCAGACUGUUGGAGGGCCAGACUAUAGUAAAAACAAAAACUUGGUUUUGUGGGUCUUUAAAUAAAGAAACUUCAUAGCCCUGGGUGAGGGGGAUAAAUGUCUUUAGUUGUUGCAGCUGGCCGGCAGGCCGUAGUUUGAAGACCCCUGAAUCGCAUUUCCUUAUAUUUAAAAUAUAAUGUUUACACUUCUGGUCUUACUAUUUAUUAUUAAUAACUUAAGGGGGGGAAAGAAUGAACAUCAGGGGAAAACUCCAUCUAAUAACUAGAUGGAGCUUGGUAAUUUUUUUUUUUUUUUAUUUUCUUGCAAACUGUUGAACUAUUUCAAAG